rnacentral:misc_RNA from 1 species
GACUUGCUAUUGCCAAGGAUCCUGAGAAUGUUCGAGCUUUGCUUAUUAUUGGCCAGACACUGUUGCAAGAUGGUUCCUUACCAGAAGCUACUGAAUACUUGGAACGUUCUAUUGCUAAGCUUCUGCUAAAGGAGAAUCAAAUGGAAAUUGAGGAUGUAGAUCUGUUGAUUCUAUCAUCUCAAUGGGCAGGUGUCGCCUGUAUACGGCAGGGUAAGAUGGGAGAGGGACUUGCACACCUGGAACGCAUAGCCACGUUGAAAGAGCCAGAUGACCCAAAGAGCAAGGCUCAUUAUUAUGACGGAUUAGUACUACUGUCAAGUGCAUUGAUCAAUGUUGGCCGCAAGAAGGAUGCGAUUAAUUAUCUGCAAAUGGCUACUGCUUAUGAUGAGUCUUACAGAGUAUAUCUGCAACAAUGUGAAAAUGAAGAGGAUGAUAUGACUAACAACCUUGUCGCUAGCAG